AGUGAACGCUGGCGGUAGGCCUAACACAUGCAAGUCGAACGGCGGCACAGUAAGAGCUUGCUCUUACGGGUGGCGAGUGGCGGACGGGUGAGGAAUACAUCGGAAUCUACUUUUUCGUGGGGGAUAACGUAGGGAAACUUACGCUAAUAUCGCAUACGACCUACGGGUGAAAGCAGGGGAUCUUCGGACCUUGCGCGAUUGAAUGAGCCGAUGUCGGAUUAGCUAGUUGGCGGGGUAAAGGCCCACCAAGGCGACGAUCCGUAGCUGGUCUGAGAGGAUGAUCAGCCACACUGGAACUGAGACACGGUCCAGACUCCUACGGGAGGCAGCAGUGGGGAAUAUUGGACAAUGGGCGCAAGCCUGAUCCAGCCAUACCGCGUGGGUGAAGAAGGCCUUCGGGUUGUAAAGCCCUUUUGUUGGGAAAGAAAAGCAGCAGGUUAAUACCCCGCUGUUCUGACGGUACCCAAAGAAUAAGCACCGGCUAACUUCG
rnacentral:rRNA from 1 species